rnacentral:rRNA from 1 species
GACGAACGCUGGCGGCGUGCUUAACACAUGCAAGUCGAACGCUGAAGCUUGGUGCUUGCACUGGGUGGAUGAGUGGCGAACGGGUGAGUAAUACGUGAGUAACCUGCCCUUGACUCUGGGAUAAGCCUGGGAAACUGGGUCUAAUACUGGAUAUGACAUGCCACUGCAUGGUGGUGUGUGGAAAGGGUUUUACUGGUUUUGGAUGGGCUCACGGCCUAUCAGCUUGUUGGUGGGGUAAUGGCCUACCAAGGCGACGACGGGUAGCCGGCCUGAGAGGGUGGCGGGCCACACUGGGACUGAGAUACGGCCCAGACUCCAACGUGAGGCAGCGGUGGGGAAUAUUGCACAAUGGGCGGAAGCCUGAUGCAGCGACGCCGCGUGAGGGAUGACGGCCUUCGGGUUGUAAACCUCUUUCAGCACGGAAGAAGCGGGAGUGACGGUACGUGCAGAAGAAGCGCCGGCUAACUACGUG